UAAGACAUGCCAGUCUUUCCGGUAAUCAUUGAUCCCCGACUCAAUGUACCAAUGACUGGAAAUAUUUAAGAUUAGGAUUUUAGGAUUUUAAGUCUCACUAGUAUGAUCUCAUCAUAGUCUUAAAACCAUUGCCCUAAUCUAAGGAGUUUAUCAUAAAUAUAAUCAACAACAUAUGAUAAAACAUAACGCCUUUAUUCAUAUUUAAAUGUCAUGUACAUGAUUUGGACAAAU
rnacentral:lncRNA from 1 species